rnacentral:rRNA from 1 species
CCUACGGGUGGCUGCAGUGGGGAAUAUUGGACAAUGGGGGCAACCCUGAUCCAGCCAUGCCGCGUGUGUGAAGAAGUCCCUCGGGUUGUAAAGCACUUUCAGUGAGGAAGAACGCCUGGUGGUUAAUACCCAUCAGGAAAGACAUCACUCACAGAAGAAGCACCGGCUAACUCCGUGCCAGCAGCCGCGGUAAUACGGAGGGUGCGAGCGUUAAUCGGAAUUACUGGGCGUAAAGCGCGCGUAGGUGGCUUGAUAAGCCGGUUGUGAAAGCCCCGGGCUCAACCUGGGAACGGCAUCCGGAACUGUCAAGCUAGAGUGCAGGAGAGGAAGGUAGAAUUCCCGGUGUAGCGGUGAAAUGCGUAGAGAUCGGGAGGAAUACCAGUGGCGAAGGCGGCCUUCUGGACUGACACUGACACUGAGGUGCGAAAGCGUGGGUAGCAAACAGGAUUAGAUACCCUUGUAGUC